rnacentral:lncRNA from 10 species
CAAAUGCUGUGUGAGAGAGGUCGGUACUUGGCAGCUUGGAGGUCUUAUGGGGCACAGUUAACCCUGUGCAUGUUAGGAAAGUGACCUCUUGUGCAACACCUCUCAUCAUCUCAGCACACCUUUUACUCCAGCUAUUGCCAUGGCAACAAGCUUCACACAAGUGCAAACUGACAGCACCGUGCAUCUCUCCCUUUCUGCAUCAGGGCUCCUCAGGCUCAAGCACAACCUGGAAAAACGAAGGUGUUAAUGUUCCAUGAGGCAACUGAUGACCAAUGGGGAGCAGGAGCUGGUGAAUGAAUGUUCCCUUCAUCCAUCCUGCAGGUAACAGUUCUGAAGUCCAUCCUUUGCAGAUCCUCAAGUGGUCCAUGUUUGGUGGAGCUCCAGUGGCCCACAGAAGGGAACAACUCAGUAUUUAUUUUAUAUUGACUCUCUCCCCUUCACUGUUUCCCUCUUUUCCAGUCCUGCUCCAUAAGCCUUGGGAUCACUUCCUAAAUAAAUCAUGAUCUUCAAGCCCUAUCUCAGGUUCUGCUUUCCUGGGGAAGUCCCAAAUUAAGACAGUAGUGUUUGACCUGGGUUUUGAAAAUUGAGCAUGAGUUUUUUAAGUGGAGAAAUAGAGAUAGAGAAAGAACAUUCCAGGCAAAGGGAGAAACAUGAGCAAAGGUCAGUGGGCAUGAACGGUACAGAAUGUGUUUAGGGAUUAGCAGUAAUAUACUGUGGCUGAAGCAUGGGGUAUACAGAGAGUCUGAGGAGGAGAUUACUGGUGGGAAGUUUUGUUGGUUGAGAAACACCUAUCAGAUAUACUGAGCUAAGAAUACUGGAAAAAUGUUCACCCAAAAUUAUGUUUGUUGUUUGCUUUCCUCUCGAGCUUCUACAUUGUUCUUCAUCUCUGGGAAAUCAGUGACCCAUGGACUGGACAAUAACUUUGAGCCAUGCAGUCAAAAUAAAAUGGAAUAUUUAAGUGAAAGAUCAGGUUCUGGAAAAUAAAACUGCUCGUAGCUGCAUAUUAUCUACCGAACUUAGGUGGAUUCUCAGAAAGAAAAAGGUGAUGUUCACUGGCAUGAACAGUGAAUGGUGGAGUGGAACGUGAACAGGCUGGAGCUCUGGCUGUGCCAUUUAUUAGCCAUGUGCCUUUAGAAGGUCCUCAUCUUCUCCAGCCUCAGUUUCACCAUCUGUAAUGGAGUAUCCAUGACCCAGAGAGAGUAUCAGUGUCAAGAAUCUGCCAGUGAGAAAGUGAUUUGAAGCAGCUCUGGAGUUCAGAUGGCCACGGGUGCAAGUGCCUGCUCUGGUGUGCUUUGCCUCUGGAAAGAUGCCAAGUCUUUGAGAAUCUUUGCUGCAUCAGCCAUGCUACAUCCUGAGGACUUGGAGGUGAGGAAAUCCUGUGUGCACUUGUUUCCUUCCCUUCAAAUGAUAUAUCCCAGAAAAAUGGCAAGCUCUCUGCUUACUAACUCUUUUCUUUUUCUUUAGUUCCCCCUUAGCUUUCUCUCUCCUUUCUUCCGUCUUUCUCUUGCCUCCUUUCAUUUUUGGUAAAAUCCAAAGCGAAAUGUCAACUCAGAGGACAUAGCUGUUUGUCUUCACCACCUACAAACUGUAUUUCCUGGAUCAAGCCGCUUAACUCCAUUGAACUGUUUUUAGCAUCCUGAAAAUGGGGAAUCACACUUUCCACUUAUCCAAGCAUUUGCUCAUUCGUUUAUUAAUAAUGUAACACCCUUGAAUGCCAGGCCCUGAACUGAAGAUAUGGUCCUGACCCACUGGGUAGUCACAGGAGAGUGGAGAAUAAUGCUUCAUUUGCUAUGUUGCUUCAAGAAUUACAUAAAAUAAGGCAGUUAAAAAUAUUUUGUGAACCAAAUAGUGCAUUAUGAAAAGAUAUUAACACUUCUUACUUUCUUAUAGCAAUUUCUAAAUGAUUUAAUUUCUGCCAUCAAAAUAUCCCCCUUGUGUUGAUCUAAACCAUCAGAUUGCAAGGUAAAGCCCUGAUGUAACUGAUGAGAUGAAGAACACUGUAUGGCCAUUAUUUUAGGUACGAUAAACAUUUGACUUCUCUUACAGAGACCUAAGGAAAAUGACUUAAAUAGGGUAGAAAUGUCUUUCUCAUGUAACAAGCCAUGCAUUAGCAGACCAGGGCUAGUGUGACAGUUCCUCCAUGGGUCACUGUGUGGUUCAUUAAGGUGUUGUCCUCCUUGGCAUGACCCACGAUGGCUGCCAGUGUAACAGCUGAAUGUCAACCAGCAAGACAGAGGUGAGGGGUGGGGAGGAGGGCAUGCCUCUUCCCUCUGAGAAAUUGCCCACCUACUUCUGUUUAUGUCCCAUGAGCCAAAAUUUAGAAUUAGGUGUCUCCACCUAGCUUCAGGGAGGCUUGGGAACUGAAGUCUUUAUCCUGGGCAUUCUAGCAUACCCUACAUCCAAUCUGUCAAAGUUGCAUUUAGAAUCCAGCCCCUUCUCACCACCUUUACUUCUUUCAUGGCGGUCCAAGCCACUUUCACUGGAUGACGGCAGUAGCCACCUAACUGGCUUCUCUGCUUCUUCUCUUGCCCUCCACUGAAAUCUUUGCUCAGCGCACGUUGAAUAAUGACUCUUUUAGGAUGUAAGCCAGAUUUUUCAACUCCUCUGCUCAAACCCCUGCAAUGGCUUGCUAGGCCCUGUGGGAUUAGGCCUUUGCUACCUGUCCCUUCCUUCCAUCCUCCCUCCUCCCUUGCUUACUCCACUCCAGCCACAUCUGCUCCCUUCCUGGCCUCAGGAAGGCAGACAUGCUGUUGGGUAGGGAUUUUCAUCGGUCGUUCCUUCAGCCUAAAAAUUGUCCAUUUCAGAUAUUCACAGGGCUCAUUCCCUCGCCUCCUUCAAAUCUUUCCUCAAAUGUCACCUUCUUAUAGAGGUCUAUCAUGACUUCUCUACUUAAAAUGGCAAGACCUGCUUCCCAACUUUUGGCACUCCUAAUCUGCCUUAUCUUAUUCUUUUUUUUUUUUUUUUUUUUUUCACAGCAGGGACAUUUUCUAAUAUAGGUUUAUACUUUACUUAUUUACUAUCUUUAGUGUGUGUGUGUGUGUGUGCCUCUUCCCUUGCUAGAAUGACAGCUCCCUGAAGGCAAGGAUUUUUUUUUCUUCCCUGAUGUAUCCCCAGUACCUAAAAGAGUGCCUGGUGUAUAAUAGAUAAUAAAUAUUUCUUGAAUAUAAGCUUGCAUGAAGAGAUGGAGCCGAAUCCAGUUCUGAUGACAUCAUUUGAGCUCUGGUUCCAUGUGCCUAAAGCAAGAAUUCUACACUUUUCAGUUCCAUGGGUCAAUAAAUUUUCUUGUGUUUAUUUAUUUAAUUGGAAGACUAUUAUUUAACUAAAUCAAUUAGA